rnacentral:rRNA from 1 species
CCCUUAGACGUUCUGGGCCGCACGCGCGUUACACUGACGAAGGCAACGAGCUUUCCUUUACCGAAAGGUACGGGUAAUCUUUUGAAACUUCGUCGUGCUGGGGAUAGAUCCUUGCAAUUUUUGAUCUUAAACGAGGAAUGCCUAGUAAGCGCAAGUCAUCAACUUGCGUUGAUUACGUCCCUGCCCUUUGUACACACCGCCCGUCGCUACUACCGAUUGAAUGGUUUAGUGAGGCCUUCGGAUCCGCGACUCGUUUGUGGAGAAGUUGGACAAACUCAGUCAUUUAGAGGAAGUAAAAGUCGUAACA